GGGAAACUUACCAAGGCCAAACAGAGGUGGGAUUGACAGAUUGAGAGCUCUUUCUUGAUUCUUUGGGUGGUGGUGCAUGGCCGUUCUUAGUUGGUGGAGUGAUUUGUCUGGCUUAAUUUGACUCAACGCGGGAAAUCUCACCAGGCCCGGCUACUGGAAGGAUUGACAGAUUGAUAUUGAUAUUGAGCAAUAA
rnacentral:rRNA from 1 species